GCGGGCGUGGCCCUAGGACUAGCCUAGUCAUUCUGAGGAAAGAAAGGAUCGGGAGGUUUGAAAUCAGAAAAGGCGUUUCUCAGGGGCUGAGGUAGCCGUGGUGAGGAUGAAUCCCACGCGGGCCCUGGCACAUGGGCUUCGGCCCCAGGUCUGCGGUGGUGGGGGUCCCAGCCUUUUCCUGAGGCCAGAAGAGGACUGAAAGGAGUGGUUGCAUCAGGUCUCCCCCACCCUUCUGCCUCCUGCGGUUGCGGCUUUAUUGUGGCCUCUGCUCCCCUGACACCUGCAUUUCACUUAGCGGGAGAGGCGGUGGCCAACUCAGCACAGGCUGCGGACUCAGCGUGGUGACAGAUCCCUCAAGCUAGAAGACUUCUGUUAGGAGAAGCGUUAUCCUGUCAGUUGAUUACCCUGAGUUAUUAUUAUUGCUGUUUGACAGAUGAAAAACUGACAUGGAGAAAAGUUAGACAAUUCCUCCAAAUCACAAAGAUAAUUUGUUCAACUGAGAGAGUGCUUAACUCAGGAGAUCAAUAAAGGUUCAUAGAGGAAGAAGUAUUUGAAAUUGUCCUGGAAGAACAAUAUUUUUCAACAGGCAGAGAUGGAGAAAGGACAAUCUACAUGAACAGAAC
rnacentral:lncRNA from 1 species